rnacentral:rRNA from 1 species
CCUGUUAAAGUUCAGGGCAACCGAGGCGAGACCCGGCAUCCUUAAUUGGCAGCAGUACCCUUGUGUAGCUGGUACAUAGGAGACGCGUGCUACACGAGAAGAACGCCACGUAGUCGAGCCGAUUGCGGCACACGCGGCACAUGCCGGACGUGGACGCACCCGAGAGGGGCGCUAUCUCCUAACCGGUCGUAGUUCGGAUUGCGGGCUGAACCGCCCGCAUGAAGCUGGAUUCGGUAGUAAUCGCGUCUCAGAAGGGCGCGGUGAAUACGUCCCUGCUCCUGCACACACCGCCCGUCAAAGCACCCGAGUGAGGUCCGGAUGAGGCCGUCGCACGACUGGUCGAAUCUGGCU